CAAAUAACCUUGCACCCCCUUGAUAUUAUUAUGACUUUUAAUUAAUAAGUUCCUACGACUAUAAUGUUUAUUGGUUCUAUUAGUUAGUUUAUGUGUUGCUCAUAACAAAGAAACGAAAUUUAAAUUUUGUUUUAUUGUAAUUUAGUAAUAUCAUUGUAGAUGGGAAUCACCCCUAAUAUUUUUACUUCACUCAACGCUAUAUUUUUAGUUUUUAUCUCUGUCGUCGCUGCCUCAUUAAAAUUCCACAUUACACCCGAACUCCCUUUCCAAUAGCGCGAGUGUGGCAAAAAUUCAAAUUAAAGAAUGUACACUUUCCAUACAUUAGGGUGAUUAUACAAAAAUUGGGUAACUCUAUGUCAUCAGCCAAUAUAUACAAAGUCUUAUUAUAUUUUAUUGAAAUACCAAUUUAUUUUAAAACAACGAAACGUCCUUUAUUUGGUCACCCAAUUUCACUUCUUUAUUUUAAAUACAAGUUAGUAAAAAAACCAAAUUAAUACUUAAAACGUCAGUCCUUUGGCAUGUCACAAUCCCGAAAACUAACAAUCAAGUGACUAUCCAUUAAACAUUAUCAUUGAUUUAAGAAAACUUACUAAUUUACUACAAUCUGUGAUGUACAUAGUAUUAUAUACUACAACUUUCAUAAUGCAAUGUUCUCCAUUUUAUUUUAAAAAAAAUAAGAAACUUUGUGUUCGUUUCAUUGGUCAGUCCGUUGUGUGUUCUUUAAAAUUUGAAAAUCUCGCCAAAUAUCAUCGAGUCAAGGUCAAAUCCCUGUUUAAGCUUUAAUGUUGAUAAUGAAGUUAGUGUCGGACCGCACAAUUUGACGGUCGCCAUAACUAUAUCAGUGCUUGGGUUGUGUUUGUCGUCUACACACGUGCGAAGCCAGUCAAAAUUUCAGUCCUGUGUGUAAAACAUCAUGCGACACUCUAAAAAACUAGGGAAGAAAUAUUAAAAAAAAAGAGAGAAGCCGGAAAGGCUCGCUUGGACAGAAUUAAAAGUGAUCCUAUUAAAUUAACGGAAUACAAAAAAAAACCAAAAUUUCAGUACUUAAGGGAAAAAAAGAAAGGACAAAGAAAAAAUGUUAAAGACAUGACACCAACCAACGAAUAACUAGAAAAAAAAGGGAAAAAAUAUUCAUACAGGCAAAGAAAACAGCUAUUGAAACCAACCACUAAUAAUUUUAUAUGCCAGAAUACUCCUCCACUAACUGACGACGAAAUACGACCCAUAGUUAAUCAAGCAAUCAGACCUGUUAUUAACGAAGAACAAAGAUCAAAAGAAGCCAAAAGGAGAAGUGAAAGACAGAGAAAAUCUUGAAACAGGGAAAUAAAAAAGAUGGAGGCUAUAGUUUCAAAGCUUAAAGCUAAACUAAAUACUCAGCGUCAAAAAUGUACGAGUCAAAAAACAGCUAAAUUACUAUUACUAAAAAAGUAAUAAAAUCUGUUAAAAAAACGCCAAAGACCGGAAUUGAAGACAUGAGAGACCAAUAUCUCAUAAAUAAAACAAAAUAUCAUUAUACAGCGGUCUGCUCUUCGGUUGAUGAUGAAGACGGUGAAGUAAGAGUAACUUUUCUCAAAAUUUGUAAUCACAAUGGCACUCUGUUCAAAGUGGAUGAAAAAGAUGUAUCAGAUGUUCCCGUGGAUCAAAUAAUAAUAAAAUAAUAAAAAAUACCCGUACCAAACCUCAUUACAAAAGGGAUGAGGGGUUUUUUACCAAUUUAAGGAUAAAAUGAUGUUUUCGAAAAUAUACAUGUUUCCAUUGUUUGUUGAUUACUUGAACUUUUAAGUAAAACUAAGUAAAAGUAGUAAAAGCUAAGUGAAUAACUUUACGUUAAAUUUCAAAAGGCUGUAUUGAAAAUUGAGAUAGUAUUUUCUCCCAGUAUUACAUAUAAUAUUAAUAAUUAUUUUUAAUUGUUACUAAGUGAUUAUAAUACUUAAAAGACAUGUGCCAUUAUUAUUAAAAAUAAGAGAUUUGUAUUAUUUUUUAUUAAAUUUCAUUAUAAUUCUUACAAAA